rnacentral:rRNA from 1 species
AUUGAACGCUGGCGGCUUGCUUAACACAUGCAAGUCGAGCGGUAGCACAGGGGAGCUUGCUCCCUGGGUGACGAGCGGCGGACGGGUGAGUAAUGUCUGGGAAACUGCCUGAUGGAGGGGGAUAACUACUGGAAACGGUAGCUAAUACCGCAUAACGUCGCAAGACCAAAGAGGGGGACCUUCGGGCCUCUUGCCAUCAGAUGUGCCCAGAUGGGAUUAGCUAGUAGGUGGGGUAAUGGCUCACCUAGGCGACGAUCCCUAGCUGGUCUGAGAGGAUGACCAGCCACACUGGAACUGAGACACGGUCCAGACUCCUACGGGAGGCAGCAGUGGGGAAUAUUGCACAAUGGGCGCAAGCCUGAUGCAGCCAUGCCGCGUGUGUGAAGAAGGCCUUCGGGCUGUAAAGCACUUUCAGCGAGGAGGAAGGUGGUGAACUUAAUACGUUCAUCAAUUGACGUUACUCGCAGAAGAAGCACCGGCUAACUCCGUGCCAGCAGCCGCGGUAAUACCGGAGGGUGCAAGCGUUAAUCGGAAUUACUGGGCGUAAAGCGCACGCAGGCGGUUUGUUAAGUCAGAUGUGAAAUCCCCGGGCUCAACCUGGGAACUGCAUUUGAAACUGGCAAGCUAGAGUCUCGUAGAGGGGGGUAGAAUUCCAGGUGUAGCGGUGAAAUGCGUAGAGAUCUGGAGGAAUACCGGUGGCGAAGGCGGCCCCCUGGACGAAGACUGACGCUCAGGUGCGAAAGCGUGGGGAGCAAACAGGAUUAGAUACCCUGGUAGUCCACGCUGUAAACGAUGUCGAUUUGGAGGUUGUGCCCUUGAGGCGUGGCUUCCGGAGCUAACGCGUUAAAUCGACCGCCUGGGGAGUACGGCCGCAAGGUUAAAACUCAAAUGAAUUGACGGGGGCCCGCACAAGCGGUGGAGCAUGUGGUUUAAUUCGAUGCAACGCGAAGAACCUUACCUACUCUUGACAUCCAGAGAACUUAGCAGAGAUGCUUUGGUGCCUUCGGGAACUCUGAGACAGGUGCUGCAUGGCUGUCGUCAGCUCGUGUUGUGAAAUGUUGGGUUAAGUCCCGCAACGAGCGCAACCCUUAUCCUUUGUUGCCAGCGGUUCGGCCGGGAACUCAAAGGAGACUGCCAGUGAUAAACUGGAGGAAGGUGGGGAUGACGUCAAGUCAUCAUGGCCCUUACGAGUAGGGCUACACACGUGCUACAAUGGCAUAUACAAAGAGAAGCGACCUCGCGAGAGCAAGCGGACCUCAUAAAGUAUGUCGUAGUCCGGAUUGGAGUCUGCAACUCGACUCCAUGAAGUCGGAAUCGCUAGUAAUCGUAGAUCAGAAUGCUACGGUGAAUACGUUCCCGGGCC